AUUGAACGCUGGCGGCAUGCUUUACACAUGCAAGUCGGACGGCAGCACAGAGAAGCUUGCUUCUUGGGUGGCGAGUGGCGCACGGGUGAGUAACAUAUCGGAACGUACCGAGCAGUGGGGGAUAACUAAUCGAAAGAUUAGCUAAUACCGCAUAUCUUCUGAGGAAGAAAGCAGGGGACCAUUUGGCCUUGCGCUGUUUGAGCGGCCGAUAUCUGAUUAGCUAGUUGGUGGGGUAAAGGCCUACCAAGCCGACGAUCAGUAGCGGGUCUGAGAGGAUGAUCCGCCACACUGGGACUGAGACACGGCCCAGACACCUACGGGAGGCAGCAGUGGGGAAUUUUGGACGAUGGGCGCAAGCCUGAUCCAGCCAUGCCGCGUGUCUGAAGAAGGCCUUCGGGUUGUAAAGGACUUUUGUCAGGGAAGAAAAGGGCGGGGUUAAUACCCCUGUCUGAUGACGGUACCUGAAGAAUAAGCACCGGCUAACUACGUG
rnacentral:rRNA from 1 species